rnacentral:rRNA from 1 species
CACGCCUCAAGGGCACAACCUCCAAAUCGACAUCGUUUACAGCGUGGACUACCAGGGUAUCUUAUCCUGUUUGCUCCCCACGCUUUCGCACCUGAGCGUCAGUCUUUGUCCAGGGGGCCGCCUUCGCCACCGGUAUUCCUCCAGAUCUCUACGCAUUUCACCGCUACACCUGGAAUUCUACCCCCCUCUACAAGACUCUAGCUUGCCAGUUUCAAAUGCAGUUCCCACGUUAAGCGCGGGGAUUUCACAUCUGACUUAACWAACCGCCUGCGUGCGCUUUACGCCCAGUAAUUCCGAUUAACGCUUGYACCCUCCGUAUUACCGCGGCUGCUGGCACGGRGUUAGCCGGUGCUUCUUCUGMGMGUAACGUCAAUGCAAUGUGCUAUUAACACACUACCCUUCCUCCUCGCUGAARGUKCUUUACAACCCUUAGGCCUUCUUCACACACGCGGCAUGGCUGCAUCAGGCUUGCGCCCAUUGUGCAAUAUUCCCCACUGCUGCCUCCCGUAGGAGUCUGGACCGUGUCUCAGUUCCAGUGUGGCUGGUCAUCCUCU